AUGAACGCUGGCGGCGUGCCUAAUACAUGCAAGUCGAGCGAACAGACGAGGAGCUUGCUCCUCUGACGUUAGCGGCGGACGGGUGAGUAACACGUGGAUAACCUACCUAUAAGACUGGGAUAACUUCGGGAAACCGGAGCUAAUACCGGAUAAUAUAUUGAACCGCAUGGUUCAAUAGUGAAAGACGGUUUUGCUGUCACUUAUAGAUGGAUCCGCGCCGCAUUAGCUAGUUGGUAAGGUAACGGCUUACCAAGGCAACGAUGCGUAGCCGACCUGAGAGGGUGAUCGGCCACACAGGAACUGAGACACGGUCCAGACUCCUACGGGAGGCAGAGGUAGGGAGUCUUCCGCAAUGGGCGAAAGCCUGACGGAGCAACGCCGCGUGAGUGAUGAAGGUCUUCGGAUCGUAAAACUCUGUUAUUAGGGAAGAACAAAUGUGUAAGUAACUAUGCACGUCUUGACGGUACCUAAUCAGAAAGCCACGGCUAACUACGUG
rnacentral:rRNA from 1 species